CAUUAAAAAAAAAAAGUUGUGCGAGGCGGUCCCAGGCAUUGCCAGGUGGCCGCUUAGACAUCAACACCCUCUGUAUAUCUACCGCGUUGCUUUGGCGGGACGGCAGCCAACAGCUCUGCUGGGAGGCUGUCCGCAGGGCCUCUCAAGACCCCGCGAGUGCCCGCCAGAGGACCACCGAACUCAAUGUUAAACCAUGAUGUCUGAGCUUUACAAGCAAUAAGUUAAAACUUUCAACAACGGAUCUCUUGGUUCUCGCAUCGAUGAAGAACGCAGCGAAAUGCGAUAAGUAAUGUGAAUUGCAGAAUUCAGUGAAUCAUCGAAUCUUUGAACGCAUAUUGCGCCCCUUGGUAUUCCGAGGGGCAUGCCUUUUCGAGCGUCAUUACAACCUUCAAGCUCUGCUUGGUAUUGGGCCUCCGUCCCCACGCGGGCGGGCCUUAAAGUCAUCAGCGGCUGAGCGCACAGCUUCUAGCGUAGUAGAAAUUAACUCGCUGGGGGAGCUGGCGUCAGGUAGCUGUCAAACACGCGCUUCGCGCACAUCUUAGGUUG
rnacentral:rRNA from 1 species